GACCCACACGACACUCCUGGGAAGCAGAAGCCCCAUUUUAGAGAUGGGAAAACUGAGUCUGUGCACCAUGCACAGGGGACUCAGCAGCUCAGAGGCAGAGCCCAGAUUCGCACCCAGGCGGUCUGAGCCCAUAGGGUGCUCUGCUUCCUCUAUACAGAGCACUCUCGCUUCUACCUCCGAGGGUGGAGCCCAGGGUGCUGGGAACCAUCCCACAACACAUGAGAUGGCCCCACCACGAAGGGCUCUCACCCCCAGGGUGCACAGUGGAGGAACCCUGUCCUAGUGGGACCAGCCCUGACCUCAGAUGGCCUGUAUCCAUAAAAGGAAAAAUGGACUAGUUGGGCUUCAUCAGAGUGGGAAAGAAUAUUUGCAAACCACAUAUUUGGCAAAGGAGUAGUAUCUAGAAUAUAUAAAGAAUGCUCAAAAUUCAAUAGUAAAAAAGCAAGUCAUUCAACUAGAACAUGGCAUGAAUGAGUGAAAAGGCAUGAACAGACAUUUCCCCAAGGAAGAUAUACAGAUGGCAAAUAAACACAUGAAAAGAUGUUCAAUUUGGCUAUCCAUCAGGGGAAUGCAAAUUAAAAUCAUAAUAAGAUAUUCUUAAAUAUCUGUCAGGAUGGCUAAAAUAGGGAAAAAUUGACUAUAACAAAAGCUGGUGAGAAGGUGUCCAAACAGAAUUCCUCAUACACUGCUGGAGGGAAUAUAAAAUAUUAUAGCCAUUGUAGAAAAUAUGUUAGUAGUUUCUUAAAAAAAAAAAGAAACUUUCAAUUACCAUAG
rnacentral:lncRNA from 1 species